UACGUAGGGGGCUAGCGUUGUCCGGAUUUAUUGGGCGUAAAGAGCGUGUAGGCGGCCAGGUAGGUCUGCUGUGAAAACUCGAGGCUCAACCUCGAGAUGUCGGCGGAAACCAUCUGGCUAGAGUCCGGAAGAGGAAAGUGGAAUUCCUGGUGUAGCGGUGAAAUGCGUAGAUAUCUGGAGGAAUACCGGUGGCGAAGGCGGCAUCCUGGACCGAGAUUGACACUGAUGAGCGAAAGCUAGGGGAGCAAACGGG
rnacentral:rRNA from 1 species